AACGCUAGCUACAGGCUUAACACAUGCAAGUCGAGGGGCAGCAUAAAAGUAGCAAUACUUUGGUGGCGACCGGCGCACGGGUGAGUAACGCGUAUGCAACCUACCUAUCAGAGGGGGAUAACCCGGCGAAAGUCGGACUAAUACCGCAUAAAACAGGGGCACCGCAUGGUGCUAUUUGUUAAAAAUUUAUUGCUGAUAGAUGGGCAUGCGUUCCAUUAGGUAGUUGGAGAGGUAACGGCUCACCAAGCCUACGAUGGAUAGGGGAACUGAGAGGUUGGUCCCCCACACUGGUACUGAGACACGGACCAGACUCCUACGGGAGGCAGCAGUGAGGAAUAUUGGUCAAUAGGCGAGAGCCUGAACCAGCCAAGUCGCGUGAAGGAAGAAGGAUCUAUGGUUCGUAAACUUCUUUUGCAGGGGAAUAAAGUGCAGGACGUGUCCUGUUUUGUAUGUACCCUGAGAAUAAGGAUCGGCUAACUCCGUGCCAGCAGCCGCGGUAAUACGGAGGAUCCGAGCGUUAUCCGGAUUUAUUGGGUUUAAAGGGUGCGUAGGUGGUUUAAUAAGUCAGCGGUGAAAGUUUGCAGCUUAACUGUAAAAAUGCCGUUGAAACUGUUAGACUUGAGUGUAAAUGAGGUAGGCGGAAUGCGUGGUGUAGCGGUGAAAUGCUUAGAUAUCACGAAGAACUCCGAUUG
rnacentral:rRNA from 1 species